AGGGGGCUAGCGUUGCUCGGAAUUACUGGGCGUAAAGCGCACGUAGGCGGCUUUCUAAGUCGGGGGCGAAAGCCUGUGGCUCAACCACAGAAUUGCCUUCGAUACUGCAUGGCUUGAGACCGGAAGAGGUAAGUGGAACUGCGAGUGUAGAGGUGAAAUUCGUAGAUAUUCGCAAGAACACCAGUGGCGAAGGCGGCUUACUGGUCCGGUUCUGACGCUGAGGCGCGAAAGCGUGGGGAGCAAACAGG
rnacentral:rRNA from 1 species